rnacentral:lncRNA from 1 species
UGCUAUUUAGAAAUUACUUGAUGUCAAUCUCACAGAUCUUGUGUCUGGCCAUGGUGGAAAUGUAAGUGGGGAGCAAGGCACUGGACACAGUCGGCAAACCCACAGGGAGAAAGCAAAGAGGACCUGGGAGAUGGGAAGAGCCAAUGCUGAGGGGGUCGUGCUUUUGAUCUGGGGAAACCGCUAAUGACAGUUCCUUACCCAGUGGGCAGAGGAUUUUGGCAGAGGUUGGGUUGCCAAGCAGGAGAGGCAGCUGAGAAGUGUGAGUUAGAGGAGUCCCUCAGAGUAGGGCAGUACACAGGACAUCCUAACUGGGUGAACCAGCUCAGCUUGAUUCCACUGUGUCUGUCUUGUCUUGUAGGAGCCUUUCCUCCUCCCCAGGGCCAGAAGGAAGCUGUUUCCAGAGCAAUGACCCUCAGCAACGUGUGGAUACUCCUCAUUCAGUCCUUUGCG